rnacentral:tRNA from 1 species
GCCUGGGUGGCUCAGUCAGUUGAGCAUCUGACUUCAGCUCAGGUCAUGAUCUCAUGGUUUGUGAGUUCAAACCCCACCUCAGACU